CCCCAGGCUCUUUCCAUCAUCUCACCCUUUCAGCUAAUGUACUCGUUAGUUUAAUGUAUCUAUUAAUAUGUUAAUGUUGUUUGUUAUAUUAUUGAAAAAGGGUCCAUAUUUGAUUUUUCCUAAAAUCAUCAGGCCUAAGCCUGAUCAGAAACCCGAAAUGAAUUUUCAGACUAGGCUCGAUUAGGCGUAAUACCCGGCCCUUUUGCAAUGUGACUCGAUACUGUGGUAGAUGGCUAAUUUAAAAAAUUUAAAUAUAUUACAUUGUAUAAAAUCAUAGGCUCGUCUCUUGAUUAAUAUACAUAUUCUAUAAUAUCCAUAUAUUU
rnacentral:lncRNA from 1 species